GACGAACGCUGGCGGCGUGCCUAAUACAUGCAAGUCGAGCGAAGUUUUUCUGGUUCUUGCACUAGAAAAACUUAGCGGCGAACGGGUGAGUAACACGUAAAGAACCUGCCUCAUAGACUGGGACAACUAUUGGAAACGAUAGCUAAUACCGGAUAACAGUAUUUCUCGCCUGAGAGAUAUUUAAGAGUUGGUUAUGCUAACACUAUGAGAUGGCUUUGCGGUGCAUUAGCUAGUUGGUGGGGUAAAGGCCCACCAAGGCGACGAUGCAUAGCCGACCUGAGAGGGUGAUCGGCCACACUGGGACUGAGACACGGCCCAGACUCCUACGGGAGGCAGCAGUAGGGAAUCUUCCGCAAUGGGCGAAAGCCUGACGGAGCAACGCCGCGUGAGUGAAGAAGGAUUUCGGUUCGUAAAGCUCUGUUGUUAGGGAAGAAUGGAUAUGUAGUAACUAUACAUGUAAGAGACGGUACCUAACCAGAAAGCAACGGCUAACUACGUG
rnacentral:rRNA from 1 species